CUAACGCUACAGGAAAAUUUUAGUAGAAGAUUUAGAACUAUGUAUGUAUUCAGUUUUAGCGUUUGUUCCCGCUUUGAGGGCAUGAAACUCCCGUGCCGUAUUAAUAUUAUUGUCCCUAAUAAGAUUAUUCAUUCGCAUUCAUACAGUUCGAAGUGGAUUGGGGAACGCAAUUUAGCUUGAAAUCCAUUGUGUCUCUGGCUAGUUCUGAAAAGAAAUCAAUCGUGGAUUAACAAGUUUCCCUUUCCCUUCUUCGCCGGUCAAUCGCAGACACCUCCGCGCCAGGCUCUGCCAGCUGCAGGCUUGUGGCAAACGGCCGCUGAGGGGCGGCUGGACAGCCGGCGGGCCGGGACGGGGUUGGUUCGGUCGAGUCUUUUAGCCCAGUAGUGUGGCCUUGAGAGCUCAGAAGGGAUAGUGCUUGGUGUAGGGGGAAACUAGUCAGCUUAACCUGCAGGGAUUUUCCCGGGUUCAGGAGGUAGCUACCUCUAUAGAUGUCGCCACAUGAGAGUCUGAGAGUCGUUCGAAGUUCUUUGGAUAGGUUUAUGCGUCAUGCGCGUGUUGCCCCGCUGAGGGCAUUGGUGGGCAGCACGAGGGGGGUAUAGUGGCCGUGGGGCUGGGGUUGUGUUUUUCGGCAGUGUAAGGACCCUUAGCAACUUGUUUCCGCCUUCCCAUAUCAACCAUCCAGGAGAACAGAAAUGAAGAGGCCACGCGUACGUUGGUAACUUCAUUUAUCCCAGAAUCCCAGCCCAAGGGGAUGCUUAAGGGGGGGUUACCCCUCGUUUUAU
rnacentral:lncRNA from 1 species